rnacentral:rRNA from 1 species
UACGGGGGGGGCAAGCGUUGUUCGGAAUUACUGGGCGUAAAGGGCUCGUAGGCGGCCAACUAAGUCAGACGUGAAAUCCCCAGGCUCAACCUGGGAACUGCGUCUGAUACUGGAUGGCUUGAAUCCGGGAGAGGGAUGCAGAAUUCCAGGUGUAGCGGUGAAAUGCGUAGAGAUGCGGAGGAACACCGAUGGCGAAGGCAGCCCCCUGGGCUAACACUGACGCUGAGGCACGAAAGCGUGGGGAGCAAACAGG